rnacentral:rRNA from 1 species
GAUCAUGGCUCAGGAUGAACGCUAGCUACAGGCUUAACACAUGCAAGUCGAGGGGCAGCACAGUGUAGCAAUACAUGGGUGGCGACCGGCGCACGGGUGCGUAACGCGUAUCCAACCUUCCCGUUACUCAGGGAUAGCCUUCCGAAAGGGAGAUUAAUACCUGAUGGUGUUUGAAUUCCGCAUGUUAUUCAAACUAAAGAUUUAUCGGUAACGGAUGGGGAUGCGUGACAUUAGGUAGAUGGCGGGGUAACGGCCCACCAUGCCUACGAUGUCUAGGGGUUCUGAGAGGAAGGUCCCCCACACUGGAACUGAGACACGGUCCAGACUCCUACGGGAGGCAGCAGUGAGGAAUAUUGGUCAAUGGUCGGAAGACUGAACCAGCCAAGUAGCGUGAGGGAUGACUGCCCUAUGGGUUGUAAACCUCUUUUAUAUGGGAAUAAAAAAGAUUACGUGUAGUCUAUUGUAUGUACCUUAUGAAUAAGCAUCGGCUAAUUCCGUG